GUUGCAUUAUGGUGUUACUGGGGUGUUUAUCAUAGAUAAUGUGAGGGCAACGCCGGUCCCCGCGGGCUUUCCUGAGCUGGUGACGCGCCCACCUGACAGUAGUGCAGGCGGCGUCCCCCUGGACGCUUCUCUCAUUAUAAAAAUAUAAAUGGUCUCACUUGGAGAACAUUUUUAGCAGUUUAUUUAUACAUUAUAUAUGGGAUUUAGUUAUAAAGAUUAGAUCCAGUAAAGUGUUUUCAGUCCAAUGAUACUUGAAAAGACGUCUAGGACCGGGCUUCAUCACUGUUAGGUGUGUUGAUGCCUCUGUAUGAAAUAUUGUUACAGUACACACUGAGUGGUUGGCUGUAAACACUUCCAAAGGACACCUGAUCCACAGGGCUGUGAUUUUCACGUCAGACUGCGUAAAGCGGCGUUUAAAGACUGGUCGACUAGAGCAUCAUCCAAGGAGCCUGGUUAGAGAUUGGGAUGUGGGAACACUGAUCGAUCCUGAUAGAUAUGUCAUGUUAACCUCAAGGUAGCACAAUACCAUGGGUCUGUGGAGUUUGAUGAAUGUUGAGGUGGUGGCAACGGUGAUCCUUGUGGCAGCGUGGAGAGCUUGUGUUGCAACCUCUACCCAGACACAUGCUGCCUUAUCUACCCAAUCACUUGCUUUUUCAUCUACCGAGGUAUUUGCUUCGUCUACCCAGCCACCUACUGCCUCAUCUACUGAGUCACUUGUUGCCUUAUCUAUUCUGGAACUUGUUGCCUCAUCUACCCAGGCACAUGCUGCCUCGCCAGUCACGUUGCCUCCUCAGAACACCGACUUUUUAAAUUUCACACUUCGGAAAUGUCGCUGUGAGAAAAAUAAUGUGCUGGAUGGUUCUGGUUGUAGAAGAAAAUCAACUGAAGUAGUCGUGUAUAAUCCAGCAAACAAAACAUCAGUCUUGGUCAAGACAAGCGAUUUUAGCAGCGUUCGCAUAGAAGAUGUUAAGUGUGACAAUGGCACCGAACGUGUGACCUUGAACAUAGCUACAAACGAUUUUGUUUUAUUUGCUGGACAAAUGGUUUGGGUAGAUGGAAGUAAGGUUCUCGGAGAGUACUGUAUCGAGCAUUUGGUACGCGGUGAAGAACUACACCAAGUAGCUCAUAUUUGCCUGCCUCCUCCUCAAGUACCUCAGUGCUGCCCCCCAGGACACCUCCUGGCUCCUGACGACUCUUGUGUCCCCAGCAGCAAUCGGCACACCUUUGCGCCGCCGAUAUUAUUUAAUAACGAUCUUGUGCCGUGGAAAGAUGUAGAUGGUAAUGUUAAAAAUGUUACAUGUGAUGGAAUACCAGUUGUUCGCCGUCUAUACCUUAAUACUCAAGAAGGGGAGCUCAUGUACAGCGUAUCGGGGACAUUGUUGAGAUGGACGCCCUUAUUCUGGCCUGAUCAAAAACAAUUUGAACAAAAUUACUGUGUAGGUAUGGAACUUGAUAAAAACAAUGAUGCACAGUAUAUUGCCAAGUUCUGCUAUGUAGAUCUAGUUAAGCACCACCAGCUGACAUGUAGUAACAAUACUUGUGUUAGAAAAUGCUGUGCCAAGAAUGAAAUUAUAUUGAUCCCACAAUGUAUAAUGGCAGCUCAGGUAGAAGAGAUAUGGGAACCUUCUUUCCAUAUCUUACAAGAAAAACUAACAUCAGUUAAGUUAGCAGCAGAAAAGUGGACUUUGGUGACCGGAAAUCCACUUUGUAGUACUUUUUAUCAACUGGACCCACUCAGAAUAGAUGAUGAUAAAUUCUACCUGUUAGAAAAUGGCUCCCUCCAUAUUCCUAAGCACCAGACCAGCUACCCAUCAACCCAUUACUGCGUUGACUCUUUCCUGACUGAAAAUGGUACGAUUAUGGAGGGCGCCAUGUUGUGUACAAAUGAAGACACCUGCUCCUGGAAGACGAUUGUCGACGUAGUGUUGCUGGGAAUAUCGUGUGUGUUUCUAGCAAUUACCCUUGGCGUGUAUAUGGGUGUGGCAGAGCUUAGAGACCGCACAUACGGACGCUGUCUCAUAUCUAUGGUGGCCGCCAUGUUGUCCACGUACAUCACCCUCAUCAUCAAUAACCAAGUGAGGGAGCAGUCCGACACCCAGUGCAUCAUAAGAGCAUUUAUUGGUCAUGUAUGCAGUCUGGCGACGUUCUUCUGGCUCAACGUUAUGUGUUAUGAUAUGUGGUCAACACUCAGGUCAUCCCAACAGAAACAUCACAGUAAAAAGGUGUUUAUGAUGUACAGCUUGUAUGCUUGGGGUUGUCCCCUGGUGGUGGGUGUGAUUGCCCUCAUCAUUGACAACUUUGGGAGUCCCAAUCUCAUAAGACCUGACUUUACAGGUGGUACUUGCUGGUUUCAUGGUAAUGCAGAAUACUGGCUCUACCUCUCUGGUAUAAUCUUUCUUCUGGUUAUGGUCAACUUAUUCUUUUUUGUGCACGUAGCAGUGACACUUGCACGGGACUUCAAACAGAGAAAAACAACAUUUGACAACAACACAAGCCACAGCAGUAAUUCAACUAAAACUAAAAGCCAUGCCUGGCUGUAUAUUAAGCUUUUUAUUGUCAUGGGCAUUGUGUGGAUAGCUGAGGCCAUCUCCAGUGUACAUCACAGGAAUACUUGCACAUACUGGCGAUGCUGUGGUCACAAGCUGAAUGGCAGUGCUGUGAGCUCAUGCUGUGUGCGCCAGCCUUGGUGGCUCACUCAGUACUGAGGACCUCACACCCGGGAAUGUGGCCCACGAUAUUUGUUCUAAAUGGCAUCCGUUUACAAGAGCCCUAAUGAAGGUGAGGUGAACCCCGUGUAUCCGCGGGCCGUUUAAAUCUUGCGUAGUACUCCAACACGUCACAUGACGUGAUGUGCACUUUUGGGAUUUUUGCUGACAUAUUCAAUGGA
rnacentral:misc_RNA from 1 species